ensembl:lncRNA
GGAAUGGAGGAUACAGAGAGAGAGAGAGGGUGGAGGGAACGGUAGAGAGGGAAUGGAGGAUACAGAGAGAGAGAGAGGAUGGAGGGAACGGUAGAGGGAAUGGAGGAUAGAGAGAGAGAGAGAGAGCGAGAGAGAGGAUGAGGGAAAGGUAGAGGGAAUGGAGGGUAGAGAGAGAGAGAGAGAGGAUGGAGGGAACGGUAGAGGGAAUGGAGGAUAGAGAGAGAGAGAGGAUGGAGGGAAUGGUAGAGAGGGAAUGGAGGAUAGAGAGAGAGAGAGAGAGAGAGAGAGGAUGGAGGGAACGGUAGAGAGGGAACGGAGGAGAGCGAGCGAGCGAGAGGAUGGAGGAGAGAUAGAGAGGAUGGAGGAAACGGUAAAGAGGGAAUGGAGGAGAGAGAGAGAGAGAGCGAGAG